GCGAACUUAACCGCUGCGCCACCGGGCCAGCCCCAAGAGUACUUCAUUUUAUGUCACAGUUGUAGUGAUCAUAUAUUUUUUCCAGCUUUAUUGAGGUAUAAGUGACAAAUAAAAAUCGUAUAUAUAUAAGAUGUACAACUGGAUUUUUUAUUUUGGCUUCACGCUACCUUUAUUCAUCCCUCUCACCACCUGAUGCCAACAGCAGACUGGGACUGACCAGGGGCCGGGGGACCCCUGAGAACACAGGAGAGGAGGCAGGGCCUUGGGAGAGACAAGGGGCAAGACAGGCCUCCCAGAGACCUGAGCACAAGUGGGCCAAUGCAGGACGGAACUUGAGGCCCUGGUGCUGCUGCCAUGUGAGGAGACCUGACCCCAGUGCUGGGAGAAGGCGGACAGUGGGGGGAUGUUCUGCUGGGAGUGAGGCCUUCCUUUUCUGGGAGCAGGGCCACUGGCAAAAGGCGGGAGAUUCAGACUGAGACAAGGCCGACUGGAGAGAGCGUCAAGGUAUCCCCUGCCGCUAGAAUGGGGCUCAGGGAAUAGGGCAAGUGUUUGAGAGCGCUGCCUUCGGCUGCAGCUUAAAAACCUGAGGUUAGGCUCACAUGAAGGGGGUGCCACAAUUCUCCUGGAGGUGGAGGAGGGACAGAGUUUCUGGCAGAGGGAGAUGGUUGGAGAGCUACCAUCGCCAGACCCCAAGAUCAGGCUAGCAGUUGGCGGGGGUUGGCCUCUGGCUCCCUGGGGUCAGAGGGGCCCAACACCCUGACUGGAGUCUGGCCUUGUCUCAUUCCUGCUUUGAAUACCUAGUAAAAGAAUGCAUUCAGAUGUGAGCAACAGAAAACUCAACUCAAAUGACCUGACAUUAAGGGAAAAUUAUCAUCUCUGAUAAGGAGCUUAGAGGAAGAACAGGUCUGUGGGACGUUAAUUCAGUGGCUCUACAGAUUACCAAGGGUCGAGGCUUUUCAUCACCUUUUCUCUCUGCCAUCCUCAACAUGCUGCCCUUUGUUCUCAGACUUGCUCUUUCAUGAUUGCAAGAUGGCCUAUGCAUCUCACACAACAUUGUGUAGAGGCUGGAGGAGGAAAGAGAGCUUGUUCCUUUUCAUGUUCAGUCUUAAGAGGGAGGAAAGUGUCCCCAGGAGAACUAGCAGCAAUCUCGUGUCUUUUGAGCCUGAGCUGCAACUUAUGCUCUUCCGGACCCACUCACUGGCAAAGGAAUUGGGAUCGCCUGACUCGGAGAAGGCCCGUCUUCCCUGAGCACACAGCCACGCCAUGCUCAGUUGAGCUGGGGUUCUGGAGCAAGGAGCGAGUGGAGGUAGGCAACCAACAGCUGUCUGCCAUGGGCUUCCAGUCCUGACAGUCUGGAGAAUUCCACACUCUGGUCAAACUGUUCAGAUGAUUGCAUCGUGCCAAGAGCUUCCAUUUUGCUUUAAAUGAGGCCGCUUACGGACAGAACAGGGCAUCAGAGAUGGGACCUCAGGUGCCAAUUCUGCUCGUGUGGUUUGGUCUCAAGCCUGUCUAGGUCUGACUUUAUGUUUGUGCAAAAUAGGGGGAUGGGUAUAUGACCUCUGCCAUUUCUUCCAGUGCUAUCUAAGCCUUCCCGCUUGUUUAAGUGAUCUAACUGAUAACAAACUCUCAGAGAGGAGCUUCUGGUGGACGAGGUGUUCCUGGUGGCGUGUUUUUCAUCCAGGUGCUGCUGUGUGUAAUGGAACUAGUUUCACAGACCCAAGUUUUCUGGCUCAACCUUCCAAGCUGCUUCAGCUUCAAAACCUGACCUUCCUCGAGAUCUCCAAUUACGGAUGAACAAUCUGGUGUGAUGGUUACUAUCUCAUGCUUAUUAAACAGAGUCGCACAGUCUUUGGGGCAGUGGAGAGAGGAACAAUUGCAGAGCCAAGGGAUGUUCCCAGAGCAUGGAAGCCGUUCUCAGAAGCCUGCCGAAAGGAAGCUUCUGCAGCGUCCUCUACGUCCCGGCAGUGAAGGCGCCAUUCAAGAGGAGUGGACAAAGACCGAAGGUCCUGCCACUGCUGCUGUGAGACCUUCUGCUAUAGACACCAGCUUGCGCAGCAGCAGCUCAGACUCAGUCGGUGCAGCUGCAAACUCAGAACGUGUCAAGUCUAAAGUGGCGAGACGCUUCCUGAACCACACCACAGACCCGGUGUCAUCAGUCGCAGUUGUUCUCUGUAAUUGGCACCUCUCUGUUUACGCAACUCCACGUAUACCAGACAACGUGAUUUUCAGUUUACUGACAUUCUCUAGAGUAAGAAAAAGAGAGAGAGAGAAAUGACUGAAAAAAUUGCCUUCCAUACAGGUGUUUCUUGAUUGUGUUUGUUAAAGAUAUAAAUAAGUGAAUGAACAAUAAAUGAUGAAGCCAAUAAAAUAGAUAUUCUUGA